UACAGAGGGUGCGAGCGUUGUCCGGAAUCACUGGGCGUAAAGGGCGCGUAGGUGGCGCUGCAAGUCGGUGGUGAAAGCUCGUCGCUUAACGGCGAGUCGGCCAUCGAAACUGCAGGGCUCGAGCACUGUAGGGGCUAAUGGAAUUCCGGGUGUAGCGGUGGAAUGCGUAGAGAUCCGGAAGAACACCAGUGGCGAAGGCGGUUAGCUGGGCAGUUGCUGACACUGAUGCGCGACAGCGUGGGGAGCAGACAGG
rnacentral:rRNA from 1 species